UAUAGAUGGAUCCGCGCUGCAUUAGCUAGUUGGUAAGGUAACGGCUUACCAAGGCAACGAUGCAUAGCCGACCUGAGAGGGUGAUCGGCCACACUGGAACUGAGACACGGUCCAGACUCCUACGGGAGGCAGCAGUAGGGAAUCUUCCGCAAUGGGCGAAAGCCUGACGGAGCAACGCCGCGUGAGUGAUGAAGGUCUUCGGAUCGUAAAACUCUGUUAUUAGGGAAGAACAUAUGUGUAAGUAACUGUGCACAUCUUGACGGUACCUAAUCAGAAAGCCACGGCUAACUACGUGCCAGCAGCCGCGGUAAUACGUAGGUGGCAAGCGUUAUCCGGAAUUAUUGGGCGUAAAGCGCGCGUAGGCGGUUUUUUAAGUCUGAUGUGAAAGCCCACGGCUCAACCGUGGAGGGUCAUUGGAAACUGGAAAACUUGAGUGCAGAAGAGGAAAGUGGAAUUCCAUGUGUAGCGGUGAAAUGCGCAGAGAUAUGGAGGAACACCAGUGGCGAAGGCGACUUUCUGGUCUGUAACUGACGCUGAUGUGCGAAAGCGUGGGGAUCAAACAGGAUUAGAUACCCUGGUAGUCCACGCCGUAAACGAUGAGUGCUAAGUGUUAGGGGGUUUCCGCCCCUUAGUGCUGCA
rnacentral:rRNA from 1 species